CGUCUAAAAGUUAAAACGUGUUCCGAUUGUUCACAGAUGUUUGCGAUUGAAGGUACUUUUUCCUUACGAUUUUCCCGGGAAAAAACUUGUUGAAUGAUUUUUUUAUUCGGAUUCUCCACACUGCCACUCUUUUAUCUCCGUGAAUCACUCUUGAAUUCUUUAUCCGGAAGAGAGAAAGAAUAGGAGAUCUGAAGCAAGCCGAUUAGAAUUUUUAUUGGGCUCGGUUUUUGAAGUUCGAAGCUAUUUCAUGGGGUUUUUUGAGGAAGUUGUCUUUUGUGAAAUUUAUUAGGGUGGAGGCUUGGGGAAGUGAUUGCGAAAUUUCGACAGCGUUGAAUGCGCUGCACUUAUGUCACAGUUCCCGACUUUGAUUGAUCAUCUACAGAAGAUUGGAGUAAUGGUAAUUCUUCAUUUGCUAUUCCAAGGCAGAGAUUAAACAAUUGAUAUCGGGCAGAGGCUUGGGGAAGUAAUUGCGAAACUUACGUGGCGUUGAGUGCAGUGCAGUUACCGACUCUGAUUGAUCAUCUACAAGAGCAUUCGUGGAGUAUAAGGGCUAGGACUGAGGUGGAAUGCUGGAGAUUAUCUACAUGGUUCAAGUAUCUCCUUUUACAUGAACAGAAGGUAAUGAUAUUGUAAUUUGGAAAAUGCAGCCGAGAAAGUUGAAGACUUGAAUCCUGAGAUAUUGGACACAAAUCCAAAAUUGUUUUUCCACCUCCACAGCAAAGGACGAUAGAGUUAAUCAGGAACUGAAGAGUUGAAGAAGCCAUCGAGUUUGCUCAGGACGACCUUGCACCUAUCGAGUCUCUUGUGCUCUCGAUUCACAUUUACUUAUUUGUGAAAUAUUUGAGGUAAUUUUUUUUGUAUAAAGUACUCUCCUCUUUCUUGUUACAGAAAAGUUUUAUGGUAGAGUAGGAUAGAACAAUUGCACUGCUUGCUUCUGUAGAUGUUUCUAAAGGUACCCUUUGUGAUGACCUCCUUGGACCCAUGCUACAACGCUUAAAGAUAGCAAGGUGAAUUCUGCUGUCCUUACCAGCCAGAAUCAUGCCAAAGGCUUGAAGGCCCUUCACUUUGAGAGUGCGCAAAAUUGUAACCGAGAGGUUUAUGAUUUUUCGGAGCUGAACAGUAUUGUGGACUCGGAAUAAUUGUAAUUCUACAGUCAUUUUUCUUCCAGUAUUGCCUUCUGUUUCCAUCAUCGUCAACCAGCAUUCCUUCUCCUCCUUUCUACCUGUUAUUUGCUGUACAACCUAGUGCAAUCGAUUGUCACAAGACUUUUCUUCAAUUCAGCAUUGUGAAUGGCUGGUAAUUCUUGCGGUGAACAGUUAGAAUAUAGCUUUUCCUUACCCAAGAACUGGGGUGUGUUCGAGAGUAAAUUAGUAAAUACUAAAUACAGAGAUUGCCGUAUGAGAAGACGGAAGAAUCCGAAAUGAAAGGGUGGAUCAAGGAUGAUGAUUAAAACCAGAAGAUGUUGUAGGAACAGUCUUUCUAUCAAAAUAUAACCGAUUAAUAUUGAAGAUCAUACCGCAUGCAUAGCUUCUUAUCGUGCAACUAGAUGGUUUCUAAUAGAAUGCAGAAGAAAAGGAACAGGCAAAGAGAAUCUGCCAAUCAAGAAAGUUCACUCAGAUUUCACCGUGUUUCAGUUGCAACAGCUUCAAAUUUGCAUAACCCAUCAUCAAAAUUUAAAGCGUAGCUGCAAGGAUCAUACUGGAACUUGAACUGUUGCUUCCCUCCGUUCUUGAUGGCUUUCUUCAUUGCCGCUCUCAUCCUCCAGAACAGUUUCCUGAAUUGCUUCCUACUGUAAGUAUUCAACCAUUCUAUGCCUCCGACCAAUCCCAUUAUACAGUGUCAAUCUCUCAACUCCAAGAUUUCUGCUUCUUUUCCCGAAAAUGUCUUGAAAUGAAGAGCAGGCUGCGAUUCUUUUCUGGGUAUUUGAGGAGGAUUAUAAGGGGAUUCACAGACGAAGAAACAAACAUCAAGAGUUGCAACCUGAGGUUUGCGCGGGAGUGUCAGAACUAAAACAACAAAAGAAGAUUCACCCUUUUGUGUAGAAGAGGAACGAGAAUAAGAGAAUGAGCAAAGCGUAAUCUUUUGGCCUUCCAAUGAAGCUGCGUAGUUUCUGCUGAGCCUCUAUGAUGGUCGGCUUUUUCUCCUUGGAGUCAUGUUGGAAUGCUCAAAUUCCAUCAACUACGGCGAUAAAGACAGAGAGGGAGGGAGGGCGAGGCGAGAGCUAAUAGCAGGUGCAGUGGGCAGAGAGCCUACAAAGACAUAUCAGUAUCGAAUAUUGUUGCGGCAAAAGUAACGAAGGAAGCUGCAUAUAUUCAACGGGGAACGUGCAAGUCUCAAAAAUUUGAAUGUGACCUUAGUAUAUAGAAUUAUUGCCAUUUCUAUCAAGUCAUAUGAUCAAGAGUAGAAAGCAAUGCAUGACCGAUUGAAUGAAAUAAUAUAGAGUGAUGAUACAGUUGAAUAUGAAUGUGUAUAGAAUUUUGCUAUUGUAAUGUUGAAAAUUUGUCCCUCUUAUAUUCC